rnacentral:rRNA from 1 species
GAACGCUAGCUACAGGCUUAACACAUGACAAGUCGCGGGGCAGCUAUUUUCCUAGCUUGCUAAGGGAAGAUGGCGACCGGCGCACGGGUGAGUAACGCGUAUCCGACCUUCCCAUGUCCGACGGGAUAGCCCGUCGAAAGGCGGAUUAAUACCGUAUGAGGUCACAUGCGGGCAUCUAAAUGUGACGAAAGGUUUGGCGGACAUGGAUGGGGAUGCGUCCGAUUAGCUUGUUGGCGGGGUAACGGCCCACCAAGGCGACGAUCGGUAGGGGUUCUGAGAGGAAGGUCCCCCACAUUGGAACUGAGACACGGUCCAAACUCCUACGGGAGGCAGCAGUGAGGAAUAUUGGUCAAUGGGCGAGAGCCUGAACCAGCCAAGUAGCGUGCAGGAUGACGGCCCUAUGGGUUGUAAACUGCUUUUAUAAGGGAAUAAAGUGAGCCUCGUGAGACUUUUUGCAUGUACCUUAUGAAUAAGGACCGGCUAAUUCCGUG